rnacentral:rRNA from 1 species
CUUAAAGAGGGGCUUGCGCCACAUUAGUUAGUUGGUAAGGUAAAAGCUUACCAAGACGAUGAUGUGUAGCUGGACUGAGAGGUCGAACAGCCACAUUGGGACUGAGACACGGCCCAAACUCCUACGGGAGGCAGCAGUAAGGAAUUUUUGGCAAUGGAGGAAACUCUGACCGAGCGACGCCGCGUGAACAAUGAAGUACUUCGGUAUGUAAAGUUCUUUUAUUGAAAAAGAAAAAAUAGUGGAAAAACUAUCUUGACAUUAUUCAAUGAAUAAGCCCCGGCUAAUUAUGUGCCAGCAGCCGCGGUAAUACAUAAGGGGCGAGCGUUAUCCGGAAUUAUUGGGCGUAAAGGGUGCGUAGGCGGUUUGAUAAGUCUAUAGUUUAAAUGNAGCGCUUAACGCUGUAGCGCUAUAGAAACUGUCUGACUAGAGUUAGAUAGAGGCAAGCGGAAUUCCAUGUGUAGCGGUAAAAUGCGUAAAUAUAUGGAGGAACACCAGAGGCGUAGGCGGCUUGCUGGGUCUUAACUGACGCUGAGGCACGAAAGCGUGGGGAGCAAACAGGAUUAGAUACCCUGGUAGUCCACGCCGUAAACGAUGAGUACUAAGUGUCGGGUUUCGGCUCGGUACUGAAGUUAACACAUUAAGUACUCCGCCUGAGUAGUACGUACGCAAGUAUGAAACUUAAAGGAAUUGACGGGACCCCGCACAAGCGGUGGAUCAUGUUGUUUAAUUCGAAGAUACACGAAAAACCUUACCAGGUCUUGACAUAGUUUUGCGACAUUAUAGAAAUAUAAUGAANGNUAUCANAAUUACAGGUGGUGCAUGGUUGUCGUCAGCUCGUGUCGUGAGAUGUUAGGUUAAGUCCUAAAACGAGCGCAACCCUUGUCGUUAGUUGCGACCACGUAAUGGUGAGCACUUUAGCG